CCCCUCUCAGGGCUGCAACUGGAGAGUUUCCAGUCCUCUACAAGUCUUGGCUAUGGGAGGGAGAGUCAAGCAGACGACUAUUCAUUCCAUUCCUAGUUUGGGCAGUGGCUAGUGAGUGGAAGGCAGUCUGCUACAAGU